GACGAACGCUGGCGGCGUGCUUAACACAUGCAAGUCGAACGGAAAGGCCCUGCUUUUGUGGGGUGCUCGAGUGGCGAACGGGUGAGUAACACGUGAGUAACACGCCCUUGACUUUGGGAUAACUUCAGGAAACUGGGGCUAAUACCGGAUAGGAGCUCCUGCUGCAUGGUGGGGGUUGGAAAGUUUCGGCGGUUGGGGAUGGACUGGCGGCUUAUCAGCUUGUUGGUGGGGUAGUGGCUUACCAAGGCUGUGACGGGUAGCCGGCCUGAGAGGGUGACCGGCGUCAUGAGGCCUGAGAGACGGACCAGUCGCGAACGGGAGGCAGCAGUGGGGAAUAUUGCACAAUGGGCGGAAGCCUGAGACAGCAACGCCGCGUGCGGGAUGACGGCCUACGGGUUGUAAACCGCUGUCGCCUUUGACGUAGCGGUAGUGACGGUAAUGGGUAAAGAAGCACCGGCUAACUACGUG
rnacentral:rRNA from 1 species